AGAGUUUGAUCCUGGCUCAGAUUGAACGCUGGCGGCAUGCCUUACACAUGCAAGUCGAACGGCAGCAUAGGAGCUUGCUCCUGAUGGCGAGUGGCGAACGGGUGAGUAAUAUAUCGGAACGUGCCCUAGAGUGGGGGAUAACUAGUCGAAAGAUUAGCUAAUACCGCAUACGAUCUACGGAUGAAAGUGGGGGAUCGCAAGACCUCAUGCUCCUGGAGCGGCCGAUAUCUGAUUAGCUAGUUGGUGAGGUAAAAGCUCACCAAGGCGACGAUCAGUAGCUGGUCUGAGAGGACGACCAGCCACACUGGGACUGAGACACGGCCCAGACUCCUACGGGAGGCAGCAGUGGGGAAUUUUGGACAAUGGGGGCAACCCUGAUCCAGCAAUGCCGCGUGAGUGAAGAAGGCCUUCGGGUUGUAAAGCUCUUUUGUCAGGGAAGAAACGGUAGAGGCUAAUAUCCUUUGCUAAUGACGGACCUGAAGAAUAG
rnacentral:rRNA from 1 species